CGUGAGUAACCUGCCUUGGAGUGGGGAAUAACACAUCGAAAGAUGUGCUAAUACCGCAUAAUGCAGUUGGGCCGCAUGGCUCUGACUGCCAAAGAUUUAUCGCUCUGAGAUGGACUCGCGUCUGAUUAGCUGGUUGGCGGGGUAACGGCCCACCAAGGCGACGAUCAGUAGCCGGACUGAGAGGUUGACCGGCCACAUUGGGACUGAGACACGGCCCAGACUCCUACGGGAGGCAGCAG
rnacentral:rRNA from 1 species